GUCUGAAAGACCGCAGCAGCCGCACUAAACAGGAAACAUCAAGCUAAAAAGUGUGAACAAUUCAGCCCAUUUCAUGCAGCGCAGGUCACCCUGAUGACAUGCCUGCAGCUCUCGAUUUCUCCUGACAUGCAAACAGAUGCGUUCAAAGGUAAGUGUUGGCCAACAGAUGAGCAAGUUCCACCAUUCUACUCAAAGACUUCUGCAGCACUUAGUUUGCUUCACCUGUCUCGUAUCUCUGUGCUGUUGUCCUUCCACUGUGUCAUCGUCUUGUGAAGCAUUCUGUGCAGGUACAGACAGUCUGAAGCCUUCCGUUUUUCCUCUUCUUCGAUCUGCUGCUCUGUCCGUUGUCUCCAACGAGUCCAGGCUCUCUGUAAGUGGCAGCGCUCCUCGUGUAGAAUUGCCUGACAACAGUGAGUUAUCUGUCAGUAUCUGAUACAAACCUGCACUCAACAUGCAGUAGUUUGUUUCCAUUUAUAGCUAACAUACCAUCCUCUCAGAAAGCAUCUGCUCCUUGUGUUUCUCUGAUUGUCCCCACCAGGUGUAAAACACCAAAGUGUACUGACGCUGCCUGAUAACAGAGUGGUCAAACAAAUCAUGUGGAGGCAACAGACAGGUCAACUCUGCUUGGUCUGGAAAUGAAUCACAACACAAGUACAAAUCGUGGGGUUGGUAACUAACCGGUUAUAGACUUCUGCCUUGUGUCUUCUCUGUUUGUGGAGUCUUCUCUUCAGAGUGAACUCAACCCACGAGUCGAAACAACGAGGCAACACGCGUUCAGCAAACCAAAUGUGUGCACGAUGCUCCAAUUUCUGCAGAAAAACAUGUUUUUGAGUUUGCAAUUAAACUAUACUGGACAGGUACCCCUCAUGUGUUUACCUACAUUUUGAAUACAUUUAUAACUUUAAUAAGUAAGUACUGUUGUUGUAUUGGAUCUUAAUACCAGCAUGUGUCUCUGUUCAGCAAGUUUCUCUCUCCAGUGGUGAAAACAGCUGCUCAACAGGAAUGAUCUGUAAAGAGAACAACAAGUCCACAUUUAUAUCCAAAUCACGCAAAAAGGAACAACUUCAUAUGAAAUAUGCAACAUGUUUGUAGCUUUGAUGCUAAAAAAUAAAGCAAUCAAUAUAUUUUUCUCUGUAGGGCAAACAUGUAAAUAAAAGCACCUGUGGUUAGUCAGUGCCAUUUCUGUUAGGGGUUGAAAACUCUCGUCUUCAGCCUCCUCCAGACGGUCCUGCCACAGCUUCCAGUACUUACAUGCCAUCUAAGAAAAACAAAAGCAUUGAAUGUUUAGAAACGUUACUUAACGUAGGUUACUGACUCUGUAAUAUCAGGAUGAUAGAACGCUCAUCAAUUACAGUUUGAUGAUAAUGUUGGACAGCCAUGUUGUUGUUCAGUCGGUGCGUUUUGUUCCCGAUGACGUUAAGAGAAAGUCCCAUCAGUCCAGCAUGCUGCAACAAGAACACACAGUGAUCAAUACAUUAAAUGGCUGCACGCUCUACUUACAUGCAGUUGCUUAAUUUACUCUUCAUCUUACCAGUAAAUGAUGAUGAUGA